CUUUUUUCAAACUAUUUUCGCGGCGUACCGUUUGUAUAAUCGGGAGAACGUUAGAUGAUCUAUGUUUAGCCUAAGGAAGGCGAAGGAAAUAAUGUCACUAAAUGGGAGUAGAAAUGAAAGAGGACAUGGAAAGAAAGGGACCAGAAAAAGGAGACAAUACUCCAGGGAGGCACUAGAGACAGCUGUAGAGAAAGUAAAAGCUGGAAUGAGCCUUAGAGAAGCUUCCCGUGAGUCAGGGAUUCCUCACACCACUCUCCAAGAUCACAAAAAGAACAAAUAUGCCUUCGCCCCUCACCCCAACCUGGCGAUAACCACCGAGGAAGAGCACUCCCUAAUAUCGUAUGUCCUCUGGAUGGCCGACCAUGCGUUCCCUAUCAGCAGGACUGUGGUGAAGGCUCUGGCUGUGGCCAUCAUCAAGGAGAGUGGCCGUAGCACCGUCGUCAAUCUGGAAAGGGGACUGAGUGACAACUGGUGGUCUAGAUUCAGGGCUCGCCACCCUGAGCUGAGCGCCAGGGUGCCCAACCCGCUCCACCGGGCCGGGGUACAGGGAGCUACUCCUGCCGCCAUCAAGGGCUUCUUCCAUGUCUACGAGCCUAUCUUCAUCAGCCACGGCUUAGAACACAAGCCGCACCUCAUCUUCAACUGCGACGAGAUGGGGUUUUCGGAUAAGCUCAAGUCCAGGGAGAAAGUUCUCUAUCAACAACAGCAGCAGCACACCACUAGGGAACAUAUUACCGUGCGCUGCUGUGUGAGUGCAGCUGGUGAGAGUAUCCCGCCCUUUAUAAUCUUCCACAAACGCCUCCCCAGUACGGCCUAUGCCCUCGAGGGUCCACCGAAGGCCCUGUAUGGUGUGUCCCCUAAAGGCUACGUGGACGCAGAACUUUUCCUGAAGUGGCUGCUCUUCUUCGUGAAGCACGCCCCAAAGGAGAGGCCCCUGGUGCUCGUAGUGGACCACCAUAAAACUCAUCUGUCCAGGGAGGUGGUCAAGUUUUGCCGGGAAAAUCAGGUGGAGGUGGUCUGUCUGCCGGCGAAUACCCACGUGUUGCAGCCAUUGGAAAUCAGCGUCUUUGGCCCACUGAAGGCUGUGUUCGGCAGGAAUGCUGCACGUCUAGGUCUGGUGCGGGGCGAUCUUGUCAUCGGCAAGAAGCACUUCUCCGCCCUGCUGCGAGAGGCCUAUCCCCAGGCGGUCACUAAGAAAAACAUUAUGGCUGGAUUCAAGAAGGCAGGGAUUUACCCACUCAACAGAGAGGCCUUUGACUCCUGCCAGCUGGUGAAGCUGGAGCCGACCACCCCCGACCCCAACGCAGCAACCUCAGAGGCCACUGCAGGAACCCCCGACUCCAACGCAGCAGAGACCCCCGACCCCAAAGCAGCAGAGACCCCCGACCCCAAAGCAGCAGAGACCCCCGUAACCCCAGCAACGACCACGUUUCUUGUCCCGGGUGGCUGCUGUUCGACCUGCGGGCAGCGUGCCCUACCCACAAACCCUUUGGUGGCCGCAGGACUCGUCUCUCCAGACCCGGCCAAUGUCCUGGUGCCCCCAGUCCUCCAGACAUCUAACCGGCAGAAAGUGAAGCGUCGACUCCUCCUGCCGGAGGAGUACAACAAACUCCUUCAUCAACAGGAGGCUGGAGAGAAGGAGAAGCAGGAGAGGAAGAGGAAGAGGAAGAGGGAGGAGCUGCAGAGGACGAGAGAGAAGAGAGAGUCCGGCAGAAACAACAAAGUGAAAAGGAAAUGUCAGGCUGAGGUAUCAGAGCUUGACGGAGAUGUGUCAGAGCACUGUGCACCAGUGUCAGAGGACGAUGUCUGUUUGCAGCCCCAAUUACCUUGGGUUUUCAGUUUUCCAUCAUCUUUUGAUAGUUUUGCUCUAUCAAUGAGAGAUGAUGGGGAGAGAAGGGGGGGUAGAGGGGGGGAGAGGGAGGGAGGAGAGGGGGGGUAGAGGGAGGGAGGGGGAGGGGGGGGGGGGGGGGUAGAGGGAGGAGAGGAGGGGGGGGGGGUGUAGUAGAGGUAGAGGGAGGGAGAGAGAGGGGGGGUAGAGGGAGGGGAGAGGAGGGGGGGUGGGGUAGGAGGGGGGGGGGGUGUAUGUUAGAGGGCGGGAGGGAGGAGAGAGAGGGGGUAGGGAGGUAGAGAGGGGAGAGGGUAAGGGCGAGGGGGGGGUGAGGAGUAGAGAGGGGGUAGGGGGGUUAUUUAGAGGAGAGAAGGGAGGGAGGGAGAGAGAGAGAGGGGGUAGAGGGAGGGAGAGAGAAGGGGUAGGAGGGAGGGAGAGAGGGGGGGUUGGGGGAGUUAGAGAGAGAGAAGGGGUAGAGGGAGGAGAGGGAGCGAGAGAGUGGUAGAGGGAGGGAGUGAGAGAGGGGGUGUAGAGGGAGAGAGAGAGGGGGUUAGAGGGAGGGAGUGAAGUGGGGGGUAGAGGGGGGAGAGGGGGGGGGUUAGAGAGAGAGGGGGGUUAGAGGGAGAGAGAGAGAGCGGGGGGUAGAGGGAGAGAGAGAUGAGCGUAGAGGGGGUUAGAGGGGGGGAGGGAGAGAGAGGAGAGAGGUCGUUGAGGGAGAGGCGAGAGGGAGAGGAGGGUUAGGGGUAGAGGGGGUCGAGGGAGGGAGGGGGAUAGAGGGAGAGGGAGGGGUAGAGGGAGGGAGAGAGAGAGAGAGGGUAGAGGAGAGAGAGGAGAGAGAGAAAGAGAGGGGGUAGAGGGAGGGAGGGAGGGGAGAAAGAGAGGGGGUGGAGGGAGGAGGGCGGGAGAAGAGACGGGGGUGGCGGGGAGGGCGAGAGAAAGAAAGAGAGGGUGAGAGAUAUUUCUUUGCCCCCAGUGUUAUUUAUUUUAGCCAGUAGGAUUUCUUGGUGUUAUUACAGUCUGCUUCUGUGUUUUUUACCAGCUCCAUGCUUCUGUGUUGUUAUAUCCAGCUCCAUGCUUCUGUGUUGUUUACCAAGCUCCAUGCUUCUGUGUGUUAUUACCGCUCCAUGCUUCUGUGUUGUUAUUACCAGCUCCUGCUUCUGUGUUGUAUUACCAGCUCCAUGCUUCUGUGUUGUUUUUACCAGCUCCAUGUUCUGUGUUG
rnacentral:lncRNA from 1 species